rnacentral:rRNA from 1 species
UACGUAGGUGGCAAGCGUUGUCCGGAUUUACUGGGCGUAAAGGGCGUGCAGGCGGUCUGUUAAGUCUAGGGUGAAAGCUCCCGGCUCAACUGGGAGAGGUCCUUGGAUACUGGCGGACUUGAGGGAGGCAGAGGAAAGUGGAAUUCCCGGUGUAGUGGUGAAAUGCGCAGAUAUCAGGAAGAACACCCGUGGCGAAGGCGGCUCUCUGGAACGCAACUGACGCUGAGACGCGAAAGCGUGGGGAGCAAACAGG